rnacentral:rRNA from 1 species
GACGAACGCUGGCGGCGUGCUUAACACAUGCAAGUCGAACGGAAAGGCCCCUUCGGGGGUACUCGAGUGGCGAACGGGUGAGUAACACGUGAGUAACCUGCCCUUGACUUCGGGAUAACUUCAGGAAACUGGGGCUAAUACCGGAUAGGAAUCCUUGCUGCAUGGUGGGGGUUGGAAAGCUUCGGCGGUUUUGGAUGGACCCGCGGCUUAUCAGCUUGUUGGUGGGGUAGUGGCUUACCAAGGCUUUGACGGGUAGCCGGCCUGCGAGGGCGACCGGCCACAUUGGGACUGAGAUACGGCCCAGACUCCUACGGGAGGCAGCAGUGGGGAAUAUUGCACAAUGGGCGGAAGCCUGAUGCAGCAACGCCGCGUGCGGGAUGACGGCCUUCGGGUUGUAAACCGCUUUCAGCAGGGGCGAAGCUUGUGGUGACGGUACCUGCAGAAGAAGCACCGGCUAACUACGUG